UUGAACGCUGGCGGCAUGCCUUACACAUGCAAGUCGAACGGCAGCACGGGAGCAAUCCUGGUGGCGAGUGGCGAACGGGUUGAGUAAUAUAUCGGAACGUGCCCAGUCGUGGGGGAUAACGUAGCGAAAGCUACGCUAAUACCGCAUACGAUCUAAGGAUGAAANCGGGGGAUCGCAAGACCUCGCGCGAUUGGAGCGGCCGAUAUCAGAUUAGCUAGUUGGUGAGGUAAAGGCUCACCAAGGCGACGAUCUGUAGCUGGUCUGAGAGGACGACCAGCCACACUGGGACUGAGACACGGCCCAGACUCCUACGGGAGGCAGCAGUGGGGAAUUUUGGACAAUGGGCGCAAGCCUGAUCCAGCAAUGCCGCGUGCAGGAUGAAGGCCUUCGGGUUGUAAACUGCUUUUGUACGGAACGAAACGGUGAGCUCUAAUACAGCUUGCUAAUGACGGUACCGUAAGAAUAAGCACCGGCUAACUACGUG
rnacentral:rRNA from 1 species